rnacentral:lncRNA from 1 species
GCGCUGUCGCAAACACCUCAGCCGACAGCGGCGCGCUUUGCGGCCGUAGGAAGACGGCGGGAGGAAAGGAGGCCUGGGGGCGGAGCUUAGGUGACACAUCCGGUGGGCGGGGCUUAAAUGACAUAUCCCGGGGCGGGACUUAGAUGACACAUCCGGGGCGGGGACAAGGGGACAAGGUAAAGAGGGCGUGGCUUAGUGUCACGUCCGGGGCGGGGCUUAGAGGACAAGCUAAAGGGGCGGGGCUUGGGGGACAAGUCUGGGGGGCGGGGCUUAGCGGACAGCCUCGUGGCAGUCUCGAGACUCUGCUGCCCAGCAGGAAGGUGUCAUGUCUGCAGGCUUCCAGCCUAAGCCAUUCCAUGAUUCCUGCCUUCUCCACGCCUGUGUGAAGGUCACCCUGUCAGGUAGCUGUAACCUGCCUUGGUGUUGUGAAGUUGAGCUGAAGCAGACUGCCAGCGUGAGCUCCUCCAGAGAUCUGUCAGGAAAUCCUUUGGAAUCUUGGCAGUUUUUCCUUAGAGAAGGAUGAAAAAGACUCAGUCUGGUUUUUUUUGUUUUGUUUUUUUCCUCCUAGAAGAGCCAGUUAGUAAUCUACUUCACUGUCUUUUGUUUCAGUCUUCUUUUCUUAAAUGUUCCCAAUCAAAUCCUUGGGUACUUGAGACCAGUAAUUUUUUCAUUAACCUUUUCUUCGGCUAAAAGCCAGAAUCCUGUAAUGCGAAGAGUAAUGAAAGUAGUUACUGUAAACUAAUUAACCUUCUGUUUUGUUGCAUUGCAGAUUAACUUUACAAAGCCUUUCAUUUCUUUUUAUUCUGGAAGUUGCCUUUUCUGCUCUGGAAGCCAAUCUAGAGGGGGAGGCUGUGAUGAAAUCUCUCUCUUUGUCUUUCCUCUCUGUUCUGCAGACUCACAUGUCACAUUCUCAAUGUAGGUUUCUUUCCACCAGUUCACAUCUGUGAGAAUGCUGUCCCCUGAACAGCUGUGCUUACUAGUUAGAGCAAUUGCUUAUCUUGAAAAUAUGUUAAAAUUUUGUUCUUGCACUUCUACUUUGCAUGCCUGUAACAUUACAAAAUCCCACAAUCUUUUUUUUUUUUCUUUUGCCACAAAUGUGAAAGUCAUUUAUAAUGUGUUUAGAAAGCUCCGUGUGCAUGCAGUGUUUGUUCUGACACUUGUCUAAAUUAAUAUGGCAGACAGUGAUAGUUCUGGGUCACAGGCCAAAAUGUGCAAAUGACUGAGAUCUUCUGUUCUUAGUGGAUGCUCAGCAAAUCCUGAUGUCAGGCCUGAGAAGAUGGGAGAAAAUCAGAAAAAGGAUGUAGCUGUUCUACAGAGUGCACCAAGUUCUCUCUCAUGACCUCAGUAGAACCGCA